rnacentral:rRNA from 1 species
UACGUAGGGUGCAAGCGUUAAUCGGAAUUACUGGGCGUAAAGCGUGCGCAGGCGGUCUGUUAAGACCGAUGUGAAAUCCCCGGGCUUAACCUGGGAACUGCAUUGGUGACUGGCAGGCUUUGAGUAUGGCAGAGGGGGAUGGAAUUCCGCGUGUAGCAGUGAAAUGCGUAGAUAUGCGGAGGAACACCGAUGGCGAAGGCAAUCCCCUGGGCCUGCACUGACGCUCAUGCACGAAAGCGUGGGGAGCAAACAGG